rnacentral:rRNA from 1 species
UACAGAGGCCUCGAGCGUUAGGCGGAAUCACUGGGCUUAAAGCGUGUGUAGGUGGAUGCCUAAGUACCUUGUGAAAUCCCACAGCUUAACUGUGGAACUGCUUGGUAUACUGGGUGUCUUGAGCCACUCAGGGGCUACUGGAACAAACGGUGGAGCGGUGAAAUGCGUAGAUAUCACUUGGAACGCCAAUGGUGAAAACAGGUAGCUGGGGAUGUGCCGACGCUGAGACACGAAAGCCAGGGGAGCGAACGGG